GAUGAAGAACGCAGCGAAAUGCGAUACUUGGUGUGAAUUGCAGAAUCCCGUGAACCAUCGAGUCUUUGAACGCAAGUUGCGCCUCAAGCCAUUAGUUUGAGGGCACGUCUGCCUGGGCGUCACAUAUCGUUGCCUGAUGCCAGUUUCCUCGUGAUGGGUGACUGUGCAGGGCGAAUGAUGGCUUCCCGUGAGCAUUGUUGCCUCAUGGUUGGUUGAAAAUUGAGUCCUUGGUAGGGAGCGCCGUGAUAGAUGGUGGUUGAGUGACGAACGAGACCCAAUCAUGUGAGACCCCUACCGAAUUUGGCCUUCAUGACCCACAUGCGUCUUUGGAACGCUCAUGACGAGACCUCAGGUCAGGCGGGGCUACCCGCUGAGUUUAAGCAUAUCAAUAAGCGGAGGA
rnacentral:misc_RNA from 1 species